CAGGGAGUGAUCUCCCGCAGAGGCCAUCUGUUCUCCAGGGGGUACUGGAGUUGGUGCAGGGAGGAAAAGUCCCGCAGAAGUUCCCGGAGAAUCCUGGGAGAGGCCCAGACCCAAAGGUUCCUCAUGCGGAAUUUCCCCAAAUGUGCGGGUCCUAACUGUGGGGCGACUGAAAGGCGGAAGCCAGUGGAAUGGAGGUGAACGAAUUCCCCUGAGGAAGAACAAAGGAGAUAGGAGGUAGAAGUGUAUUGCAUAAACGGCAAGAGAGCUGUGAGCAGGACACUGGAGAGAACCUGUCUGCACACAGAUUACAAGAAUAAAAGAGAAGCUAUCUCUUAGAGUUCAUGAGGCUUGGGGCAAACUCAAAUGCCGCUUCCAGUCGGCGACGAGAGAAGAAUUAGGCACAAACAAGUCAGCUGCAAAAGACUGGGAGCAGGGGACAACAGUCGAAAAGGACGGCUGCCCUGAGCAACUCUACAGUCUCACUUUUAUUGGAUCGAAAACAAUAGCCAACAGAAGGACUGAUGAAGGUCAAACGUUAAUCCCGUCUUGCAGACAAGCAAGAAGGAGGAUAAAGUUUAUAGUUAACCAAGCACAUUCAAAGGACUCAUCUAACUAACAAUGGGCGCUUCUGGGAAGAGAAAGGAGCGAUCACGAAAAGGGAAGCAGGCGGAUUUCGUUCCACCCUGGGCUGACCGGGGUUCCCGGGUGCUCGGCUUCCCUGAAGCAGACGGUGGUCCGCCCUGGGCGGGCCGGGCGGGCUGGGCGUUCCCAGCUGCCUGGCUUCUGUGAAGGGGUGGCAUUCUGCUCUGAGCGAGCCGGGCAUCCCCAGCUGCCCAGCUUCACGGUCGUACAUCAUCCUUCUCCUCAAAGACCUGUUGUCAGUAUAUGUAUUUCUUAAGGCCAUAUCUAAAUGUGCUUGGCAACUAGUAAAAUCCUCCAAGGGUUACAGUUUAAUUAACAAAUUGUUCUGAAAGACCCCUCUUCUAGACAAACCCCUCCCCUAGUAGAUAGAUAGGAUAACUAACUGCUUGUUUGCUUUUCUGUAAACCGCUGGCUAUUAGGUAUGAAAUUAAGUUAGGUUAUUAAUUGUGUGAAUUGCUCUCUUACCUUUCUCUAGCCUCGUGGCUUAUAGAAAUAAUAGAGACGCCAUGAUGACACUCCUCCCUUCCCCCAGGGUUGAAUUCAAUGUAACUGCUCUUUUGCCUUUCUGUAACUGCUUGGCUUUUAGGGCAUGACACUUAACUCCUGUUUGAACAAGAUACCCUCUCCUAAUAGCAGGGGCAUGGUCAUGUAGGCAAGGGGGCUGCAUGGCCACAUAGUCACGUAGACAGGAUGUCUUUCUGCUGAGUAGUAAGGUCUAACUUCCCCUCUUUGUUUCCCCCUUCCCNNNNNNNNNNNN
rnacentral:lncRNA from 1 species